rnacentral:rRNA from 1 species
UACAGAGGUCUCAAGCGUUGUUCGGAUUCAUUGGGCGUAAAGGGUGCGUAGGCGGCGCGGUAAGUCGGGUGUGAAAUCUUGGAGCUUAACUCCGAAACUGCAUUCGAUACUGCCGUGCUUGAGGACUGGAGAGGAGACUGGAAUUUACGGUGUAGCGGUGAAAUGCGUAGAUAUCGUAAGGAAGACCAGUGGCGAAGGCGGGUCUCUGGACAGUACCUGACGCUGAGGGGCGAAAGCGUGGGGAGCAAACAGG